rnacentral:rRNA from 1 species
AACCUACAUGUGUAGGAUAGGUGGGAGGCUAUGAAGACGUGACGCCAGUUGCGUUGGAGCCGUCCUUGAAAUACCACCCUUGUAUGUUUGAUGUUCUAACUUAGCCCCAUUAUCUGGGGUGAGGACAGUGCCUGGUGGGUAGUUUGACUGGGGCGGUCUCCUCCCAAAGAGUAACGGAGGAGCACGAAGGUGGGCUAAUCACGGUUGGACAUCGUGAGGUUAG